GCACAGGAAACCACACAACUGGAAACUGGAAACACAACUGGAUUUUAGCAGGUCUCAGAAUCCAAACAGCUGGAAACUACAGUAUUUUAGCAGGUCUUAGAAUCGAAGCAGCUGGACACUACUAGACUUGAACAGGUAACAGAAACCAUGCCGCUAGAAAUUGGCUGGACUUUAGAAGUUAACAGAGACCACACAUCUGAAAAUUACUGGAAUUGAGAGGGUACCAGAAACCACACAGCUGGAAAGUACUGGACCUGAGCAGUCAAAGAAUACACACAGCUAAAAUCUACUUGACUGGAAACUAUUGGACAGCUGGAAACUACUGGCCUUGAGCAGGUACCAGAAACCACACAACUGGAAACUACUGGAUUUGAGCAGGUACCAGAAACCACACAACUGGAAACUACUGGAUUUGAGCAGGUACCAGAAACCACACAACUGGAAACUUCUGGACUGAAACCACACAACUGGAAACUACUGGACUUGAGCAGGCAGUAGAAUCCACACAAACUGGAAACUACUGGACUUGAAACCACACAACUGGAAACUACUGGACUUGAGCAGGCAGUAGAAUCCACACAACUGGAAACUAAUGGACUUGA
ensembl:lncRNA